GACGAACGCUGGCGGCGUGCUUAACACAUGCAAGUCGAACGGAAAGGCCCUGCUUUUGUGGGGUGCUCGAGUGGCGAACGGGUGAGUAACACGUGAGUAACCUGCCCUUGACUUUGGGAUAACUUCAGGAAACUGGGGCUAAUACCGGAUAGGAGCUCCUGCUGCAUGGUGGGGGUUGGAAAGUUUCGGCGGUUGGGGAUGGACUCGCGGCUUAUCAGCUUGUUGGUGGGGUAGUGGCUUACCAAGGCUUUGACGGGUAGCCGGCCUGAGAGGGUGACCGGGCACAUUGGGACUGAGGUACGGCCCAGACUCCUACGGGAGGCAGCAGUGGGGAAUAUUGCACAAUGGGGGGAAGCCUGAUGCAGAAACGCCGCGUGCGGGAUGAUGGCCUUCGGGUUGUAAACCGAUUUCGCCUGUGACGAAGCGUGAGUGACGGUAAUGGGUAAAGAAGCAACGGCUAACUACGUG
rnacentral:rRNA from 1 species